CAAAGGCUUCAGGAAGGCUUCACUGCUUCAUUCAUCGGUGGUGGUGUGGUGGCGAGCGCUCAGUCGACAAGAAGAAAAGGGGUGUGAUGCCGCUACCGUGCUGUUCCUCGUCCCUCUACUUGCCUUUGUCUUAAAGCCAGCUGUUAAAUCAAUUAGACGCAUGGAUGACGGAGAGUGGCAGGACAACACGCGGCGAGGCGAUCAGAGGAAAGCUGUGUUGGAGAGAAGCGAGGCGAGGCUUUUUGCUAAGACACCUCCAGUGUCACCCUGAGAUGGACAAUCACCAAUAAUAUUCCAAGUGGAGUUACAGAGGUCAAGUAAAAAGGGAACAUGGAAUAUCAUCACUGUGGCCCGGCGAUGACUCAUGGCACUCAGUAAAACCUGUCACUCACACAAAGAAGAUGGGACAAAGGCAUCUCCACCAGGGGAGGAAAAAGUGACACCAUUGGAUUCCAAAUGUUGGUGACUUGCUUCAGCUGCAGUGGGUCCAUUUCUGGAGACACCAUCUCAGUGUUCAGACCACCUUUCCCCCUCCACACUGGAGGCAUCCGCUGCUGCUGCUGCUGCUGCAGCCACCCCCAUCUACGAUUCUAUAAAUAAAUAAAGUGUGUCAGACUCUGGACUUUACUCGCAACUGCGAGUAAUGAGCUUCCCAGUGUGCCAAGUCAAGGACUCCCCAACACAGUGACAUUAUUAUUAUUAGUGAUUUUUAAAUUUUGAUUUUUUGUGUUGACAUUUAUUAUUGAUUUUUUUAUGUUUGAAUUCAGUCCUAGUUGAUAUCCGGAGUGUCUUUGAGGUAUGAUGUAUCAUUUUUAACAUGAGGAUGAGGUUG
rnacentral:lncRNA from 1 species